GCUUUUAUGGUGUAAUAAACACACUAGAUUUUCGAUCUAGAGUUAGAGUUAAAAUCUCUUAAAAGUG
rnacentral:tRNA from 1 species